rnacentral:rRNA from 1 species
CAGUAGGACUUCCGCAAUGGACGAAAGUCUGACGGAGCACGCCGCGUGAACGAUGAAGGUUUUCGGAUCGUAAAGUUCUGUUGUUAGGGAAGAACCGCCGGGAUGACCUCCCGGUCUGACGGUACCUAACGAGAAAGCCCCGGCUAACUACGUGCCAGCAGCCGCGGUAAUACGUAGGGGGCAAGCGUUGUCCGGAAUUAUUGGGCGUAAAGCGCGCGCAGGCGGCUUCUUAAGUCAGGUGUGAAAAGCCCACGGCUCAACCGUGGAGGGCCACUUGAAACUGGGAAGCUUGAGUGCAGGAGAGGAGAGCGGAAUUCCACGUGUAGCGGUGAAAUGCGUAGAGAUGUGGAGGAACACCCGUGGCGAAGGCGGCUCUCUGGCCUGUAACUGACGCUGAGGCGCGAAAGCGUGGGGAGCGAACAGGAUUAGAUACCCUGGUAGUCCACGCCGUAAACGUUGAGUGCUAGGUGU